rnacentral:rRNA from 1 species
GGCCUAACACAUGCAAGUCUAGCGGUAGAGAGGAGCUUGCUUCUCUUGAGAGCGGCGGACGGGUGAGUAAUGCCUAGGAAUCUGCCUAGUGGUGGGGGAUAACGUUCGGAAACGGACGCUAAUACCGCAUACGUCCUACGGGAGAAAGCGGGGGACCUUCGGGCCUCGCGCCAUUAGAUGAGCCUAGGUCGGAUUAGCUAGUUGGUGAGGUAAAGGCUCACCAAGGCGACGAUCCGUAACUGGUCUGAGAGGAUGAUCAGUCACACUGGAACUGAGACACGGUCCAGACUCCUACGGGAGGCAGCAGUGGGGAAUAUUGGACAAUGGGCGAAAGCCUGAUCCAGCCAUGCCGCGUGUGUGAAGAAGGUCUUCGGAUUGUAAAGCACUUUAAGUUGGGAGGAAGGGCAGUAACUUAAUACGUUGCUGCUUUGACGUUACCGACAGAAUAAGCACCGGCUAACUUCGUGCCAGCAGCCGCGGUAAUACGAAGGGUGCAAGCGUUAAUCGGAAUUACUGGGCGUAAAGCGCGCGUAGGUGGUUCAGUAAGUUGGAAGUGAAAUCCCCGGGCUCAACCUGGGAACUGCUUUCAAAACUGCUGAGCUAGAGUACGGUAGAGGGUGGUGGAAUUUCCUGUGUAGCGGUGAAAUGCGUAGAUAUAGGAAGGAACACCAGUGGCGAAGGCGACCACCUGGACUGAUACUGACACUGAGGUGCGAAAGCGCGGGGAGCAAACAGGAUUAGAUACCCUGGUAGUCCACGCCGUAAACGAUGUCAAUUAGCCGUUGGGAGUCUUGAACUCUUAGUGGCGCAGCUAACGCAUUGAGUUGACCGCCUGGGGAGUACGGCCGCAAGGUUAAAACUCAAAUGAAUUGACGGGGGCCCGCACAAGCGGUGGAGCAUGUGGUUUAAUUCGAAGCAACGCGAAGAACCUUACCAGGCCUUGACAUGCAGAGAACUUUCCAGAGAUGGAUUGGUGCCUUCGGGAACUCUGACACAGGUGCUGCAUGGCUGUCGUCAGCUCGUGUCGUGAGAUGUUGGGUUAAGUCCCGUAACGAGCGCAACCCUUGUCCCUAGUUACCAGCACGUAAUGGUGGGAACUCUAAGGAGACUGCCGGUGACAAACCGGAGGAAGGUGGGGAUGACGUCAAGUCAUCAUGGCCCUUACGGCCUGGGCUACACACGUGCUACAAUGGUCGGUACAAAGGGUUGCCAAGCCGCGAGGUGGAGCUAAUCCCAUAAAACCGAUCGUAGUCCGGAUCGCAGUCUGCAACUCGACUGCGUGAAGUCGGAAUCGCUAGUAAUCGUGAAUCAGAAUGUCACGGUGAAUACGUUCCCGGGCCUUGUACACACC